UACGGAGGGUGCGAGCGUUGUCCGGAAUCACUGGGCGUAAAGGGCGCGUAGGCGGCCUGGUAAGUAGGGGGGUGAAAAUCCCUGCGGCUUAACCGCAGGGCUGCCUUCUAAACUGUCAGGCUCGAGUCCGGAAGAGGCGAGUGGAAUUCCUGGUGUAGCGGUGAAAUGCGCAGAUAUCAGGAGGAACACCAAUGGCGAAGGCAGCUCGCUGGGACGGUACUGACGCUGAGACGCGAAAGCGUGGGGAGCAAACAGG
rnacentral:rRNA from 1 species